GCACUGCUGAAGAGUUCCACAACAGGACGAAACGGCCGUCCACUGC
rnacentral:hammerhead_ribozyme from 1 species